UCCCUGGUGUCUACUGGUUAGGACUCGGCACUUUUACUGCUGUGGCCUGGGGUUCAAUCCCUGGUCUGGGAA
rnacentral:tRNA from 1 species